rnacentral:rRNA from 1 species
UACGUAGGGUGCGAGCGUUAAUCGGAAUUACUGGGCGUAAAGCGUGCGCAGGCGGUUCGUCGUGUCCGAUGUGAAAGCCCCGGGCUCAACCUGGGAAUGGCAUUGGAAACUAACGGGCUCGAGUGUGGCAGAGGGGGGUGGAAUUCCACGUGUAGCAGUGAAAUGCGUAGAGAUGUGGAGGAACACCGAUGGCGAAGGCAGCCCCCUGGGCUAACACUGACGCUCAGGCACGAAAGCGUGGGGAGCAAACAGG